rnacentral:rRNA from 1 species
CGGCGUGCUUAACACAUGCAAGUCGAACGGAGCGAAUGAAAGCUUGCUUUAUGAGCUUAGUGGCAAACGGGUGAGUAACACGUAGACAACCUGCCGACAGGAUGGGGACAACAUUCCGAAAGGAAUGCUAAUACCGAAUGAAGCGGAGGAGAGGCAUCUCUCCUCCGUGAAAGAUGGCCUCUAUUUAUAAGCUAUCACCUGUCGAUGGGUCUGCGUCUGAUUAGCUAGUUGGUGAGGUAACGGCUCACCAAGGCGACGAUCAGUAGCCGGUCUGAGAGGAUGAACGGCCACAUUGGGACUGAGACACGGCCCAGACUCCUACGGGAGGCAGCAGUGGGGAAUCUUCCGCAAUGGGCGCAAGCCUGACGGAGCAACGCCGCGUGAGUGAAGAAAGGUCUUCGGAUCGUAAAGCUCUGUUGAUGGGGACGAACGUGCGAAGGGUGAAUAAUCCUUUGCAAUGACGGUACCUAUCGAGGAAGCCACGGCUAACUACGUGCCAGCCGCCGC